GUGCAAGCCUAGCGGAAUGCGGGGCGCCGCGAGCGCAGCCGGACGCGUCGGCCACGCAGACAGGCAGUAGAGGCGCGGCCAGCAGCCAGAGCAGUCACGGAGCAGGAAUUAUAAAGAAACUACGUGCCAUCGAGCUCCAAGAAGCCCUUCGAGUGUUCUGUGUGCAACAAGAAAUGUACGACGAGUGGUAACCUCCGCACACAUCUCCGAAUAACGCACACUGGAGAGAAGCCAUUCGAGUGUUCUGUGUGCAACAAGAAAUUUGCGAGCAGUGGUAAACUCCGUCCACAUCUCCGAACACACACAGGAGAGAAGCCCUUGGAGUGUUGUGUGUGCAACAAGAAAUUUGCGGAAAGUGGUACUCUCCGUACACAUCUCCGAACACACACAGGAGAAAAGCCCUUCGAGUGUUCUGUGUGCAACAAGAAAUGUACGACGAGUAGUGGUCUCCGCACACAUCUCCGAACACACACAGGAGAGAAGCCCUUCGAGUGUUCUGUGUGCAACAAGGAAUUUAAAAGUUGCGAUUAACGCGCACUUUUAUAAACUUAUGUCGACUUAUGUUGAAGAUAUUUUUCUGUUGAGCGAAAUUAUAAACACAUUGGUGCAUUGUUAAUCAUUUACGGUGUAAAUUUUUUUGUAAAUAUAAUAUUUGUUAAUUUA